rnacentral:rRNA from 1 species
GCCUACGGGGCGCAGCAGUGGGGAAUAUUGCACAAUGGGGGAAACCCUGAUGCAGCGACGCCGCGUGAGUGAAGAAGUAUUUCGGUAUGUAAAGCUCUAUCAGCAGGGAAGAUAAUGACGGUACCUGACUAAGAAGCCCCGGCUAACUACGUGCCAGCAGCCGCGGUAAUACGUAGGGGGCAAGCGUUAUCCGGAUUUACUGGGUGUAAAGGGUGCGUAGGUGGCAGGGCAAGUCUGAUGUGAAAGCCUUCGGCUCAACCGGAGAAUUGCAUCAGAAACUGUUGAACUUGAGUGCAGAAGAGGAG